AGAGUUUGAUCAUGGCUCAGAACGAACGUUGGCGGCGUGGAUUAGGCAUGCAAGUCGAACGAAUCUCAGGGGGGUAACUCUCUGGGGAAAGUGGCGAAAGGGGCAGUAAUGCGUGGGUAACCUACCCAGGGGACGGGGAUANNCAUUCUACGAGUGGGUAAUACCCGGCGAUUUGACGGAGGCGCAUGUCUCUGUCAGGAAAUGAAUUUCGCCUCUGGAGGGGCUCACGUGGUAUUAGCUAGUUGGUAGGGUAACGGCCUACAAGGCAAAGAUGCCUAGCAGGUGUGAGAGCACGACCUGCGCCACUGGCACUGAGACACUGGCCAGACACCUACGGGUGGCUGCAGUCGAGGAUCUUCGGCAAUGGGCGCAAGCCUGACCGAGCGACGCCGCGUGUGCGAUGAAGGCCUUCGGGUUGUAAAGCACUGUCGAGGGGGAGGAAAGCCCGUAAGGGUCUGACUAAUCCCUGGAGGAAGCACGGGCUAAGUUCGUGCCAGCAGCCGCGGUAAGACGACCGUGCGAACGUUGUUCGGAAUCACUGGGCUUAAAGGGCGCGUAGGCGGGCAAGCAAGUCCGGGGUGAAAUCUUUCGGCUUACCGGAAAAGUCCUUGGAUACUGCUUGUCUGGAGGGAGGUAGGGGCAUGCGGAACUUCUGGUGGAGCGGUGAAAUGCGUUGAUAUCAGAAGGAACGCCGGUGGCGAAAGCGGCGUCUGGACCUCUUCUGACGCUGAGGCGCGAAAGCUAGGGGAGCAAACGGGAUUAGAUACCCUAGUAGUCC
rnacentral:rRNA from 1 species